AUUGAACGCUGGCGGCAGGCCUAACACAUGCAAGUCGAACGGUAGCACAGAGGAGCUUGCUCCUUGGGUGACGAGUGGCGGACGGGUGAGUAAUGUCUGGGAAACUGCCCGAUGGAGAGGGAUAACUACUGGAAACGGUAGCUAAUACCGCAUAACGUCGCAAGACCAAAGAGGGGGACCUUCGGGCCUCUUGCCAUCGGAUGUGCCCAGAUGGGAUUAGCUAGUAGGUGGGGUAACGGCGCACCUAGGCGACGAUCCCUAGCUGGUCUGAGAGGAUGACCAGCCACACUGGAACUGAGACACGGUCCAGACUCCUACGGGAGGCAGCAGUGGGGAAUAUUGCACAAUGGGCGCAAGCCUGAUGCAGCCAUGCCGCGUGUAUGAAGAAGGCCUUCGGGUUGUAAGGUACUUUCAGCGAGGAGGAAGGUGUUGUGGUUAAUAACCGCAGCAAUUGACGUUACUCGCAGAAGAAGCACCGGCUAACUCCGUGCCAGCCGCCGCUGUAA
rnacentral:rRNA from 1 species